ACACGUGGGCAACCUGCCUGUAAGACUGGGAUAACUUCGGGAAACCGGAGCUAAUACCGGAUAAUCCUUUUCUACUCAUGUAGAAAAGCUGAAAGACGGUUUACGCUGUCACUUACAGAUGGGCCCGCGGCGCAUUAGCUAGUUGGUGAGGUAACGGCUCACCAAGGCGACGAUGCGUAGCCGACCUGAGAGGGUGAUCGGCCACACUGGGACUGAGACACGGCCCAGACUCCUACGGGAGGCAGCAGUAGGGAAUCUUCCGCAAUGGACGAAAGUCUGACGGAGCAACGCCGCGUGAGUGAUGAAGGUUUUCGGAUCGUAAAACUCUGUUGUUAGGGAAGAACAAGUACGAGAGUAACUGCUCGUACCUUGACGGUACCUAACCAGAAAGCCACGGCUAACUACGUGCCAGCAGCCGCGGUAAUACGUAGGUGGCAAGCGUUGUCCGGAAUUAUUGGGCGUAAAGCGCGCGCAGGCGGUCCUUUAAGUCUGAUGUGAAAGCCCACGGCUCAACCGUGGAGGGUCAUUGGAAACUGGGGGGGACUUGAGUGCAGAAGAGAAGAGUGGAAUUCCACGUGGUAGCGGGUGAAAAUGCGUAGAGAUGUGGAGGAA
rnacentral:rRNA from 2 species